rnacentral:rRNA from 1 species
GACGAACGCUGGCGGCGUGCUUAACACAUGCAAGUCGAACGGGAAGGCCCGGCUUUUGUGGGCUGCGCGAGUGGCGAACGGGUGAGUAACACGUGGGUAACCUGCACUUGACUUUGGGAUAACUUCAGGAAACUGGGGCUAAUACCGGCUAGGAGCUCCUGCUGCAUGGUGGGGGUGGGAAAGUUUCGGCGGUUGGGGAUGUACUCGCGGCUUAUCAGCUUGUUGGUGGGGUAGUGGCUUACCAAGGCUUUGACGGGUAGCCGGCCUGAGAGGGUGACAGGCCACACUGGGACUGAGAUACGGCCCAGACUCCUACGGGAGGCAGCGGUGGGGAAUAGUGUAUUAUGGGAGGAAGGCUGGUGCAGCAACGCCGCGUGCGGGAUGACGGCCUGCGCGUUGUAAACCGCUGUCGCCUGUGACGAGGCGUGAGUGACGGUAAUGGGUAAAGAAGCACCGGCUAACUACGUG